UAAAACCUAGAGCUUGAGAGACUUGCUAAGUUUCAUCAGGAUAACCCUGGUAUGUUUCUUCCCUCUGACAAUGAUGUCACUAUAGAGGGAAUUGUUAGUUCUUCUAACUCUGUUGACAAUUCCACAGCCCCCCUCCCUUCUCUAGUAAAUACACUUCAGAGGAGGAAGAGGGUGACACUUCUUGGAUAGAAGUGUCUACCCAAAGGGGUAGGAAAUGUUUGUCUAAAACUAAAAUAAAUUUUAUAUGAUUGGUGAUUUUUGGAAUAUCAGAGUCCUAAAUGGGUCCUCUAAAAUUACUAGAUUGCAGGAGCUUAUUAAAGCUACUUGCCUUGGUUCUAUUUGCAUUUCUGAAACUAAGAAAACUAAUUUUACAAUUCCUCAACUCGAUGUUGUAGAUACUAGAAGUGGUUUCCCGUGGAACUGGCUUCCUGCUAAUAAUACAGCAGGGGGAAUCCUAGUUGGUGUCAAGGAGGAUAAAUUUGACAUUGUUCAAUGUGAUAUUCAGUCUUAUUGUAUUUCCUGUAUUUUAAAAUUUAAGCAUAAUUACACUGUGUGGAGGCUAGUGUCUGUGUAUGGAUCUGUUUAUGAGGAACAUAAGCUUGACUUUAUUAAUGAGCUCCAUUCUGUAUUAGCUGGCUGGUCUGGACCUACUUUAGUGGGGGAGACUUUAAUCUUAUCAGAGUAGCUGGUGAGAAAAGUACCGGUUUGAUUAAUCAUCAUUGGGCUGACCUUUUUAAUGAUUGGAUCAACAAGUUUGGCCUCAUAGAAUUAAAAAAUGCAGGGAGGAAGUUUACCUGGGCUAAUAACCAGCAUGACUAGGUUAUGGCUACUUUAGACAGGAUCUUUAUCAGAGUUGAUUCGGAUAGCCUUUUCCCUACUUGCCAUGUUAAGGCCCUACCCAGAGUUGGCAGUGAUCACACCCCUCUAGUUCUAGACACUGCUACUUUACAUAUCCCUACAAAUAAAAUGUUUAGAUUUGAAAAAUGGUGGCCGGAAAUCCCCGGCUUUGAUGAUGUUAUUGAUAAAGCCUGGAACACCAAGUGUCAUGUUGUUAAAGCAAUUGAUAUAUGGCAAUUUAAGAUUCGUACUACUAGAAAAGUUGCUAAGGGCUGGUGUGCCAACUUUGAAGCUGCUCAAAAUAACAUGAAGCAAGCUCUGGUGGCUGAGUAUAAUUGCUUAGAUAUUUUGGCUGAGUCUCAGCCUCUGUCACCUAACUCUAAACAAAAAAUGAAAAAAAAUUGCAGGUGAUCUGGAUGACAUAUAGAAGGAGGAAAUUAAGGUCAGACAGAGAUCCAGGGAGAAGGAGAUCUUGGAAGGUGAACUGAACACUAGGUACUUCAAGGUUGUGGCUAACCAAAAGAGGAGGAAGAAGCAGAUAAAUGUACUGGAAGGCAGCUUAGGACCUGUAGAAGACACCAAAGGUAUAAUUCAGAUUGCUGUUGAUUACUAUAAGGAAUUGUUUGGCUUUGUCCCUACUAUGGACAUUGAUCUUAAAGAUGACUUUUGGGAUCAAACUAGUAUAGCUAGCCCAGAUCAUAUAGAUCUGCUUGAAAAACCUUUCUCUGAAGAGGAGAUCAAGGCUGUUGUCUGUGGCUCAUAUGCUGAGGGAGCCCCUGGCCCUGAUGGCUUUCCUUUUCUAUUUUACCAGAAAUACUGGGACUUAAUUAAGAAUGAUCUUUUUGCAUUAUUCAAGGAUUGGGAAGCUCGGGCUUUGGACUUAUAUAGACUUAACUUUUCCCUGCUUACUCUAGUGCCUAAAGAACCAAAUGUUGUCAGAUUAGAAAGGUUUAGACCUUUGGCUAUGACUAACUUCAACUUUAUUUUGUUUUCAAAUGUACCACCAAUAGAUUUGGCCCUGUGUGCAAUGAUAUUAUUGCCCCAAACCAAACUGCCUUUAUUAAAGGGAGGUUUGUUUUGGAAAGCAUUGUAGCUGCUCAUGAAGUGGUGCAUGCUGUUGUCACUAGUAAUAUAUAUGGGUUUUGCUUUAAGCUUGACUAUGAUAAGGCUUAUGACAUGAUUAAUAGAGAAUUCCUUUUGAAAAUGCUUAGAAAGAGAGGUUUUGGGCCUAAGUGGAUGCUUAAGAUUGAAUCUCUCCUCUGCAAUGGCUAUGUUGGAGUCAGAAUGAAUGACACCAAUAGUGAAUUUUUUUUGUAGUUGGUAAGGGGGUUAGACAGGGUGACCCUGUUUCCCCCCUCUUGUUUAACUUAGUAGCUGAUGUAUUCACUAGAAUGCUGAUUAAAGCUGCUGAUAAUAAUUUGAUUGCUGGGGUAUUCCCUCCCUCAAACCCAGCUGGGUGAUUAGUAUGCAAUAUGCAGAUGAUACCAUUUUGUUCUUAGACAAAAAUCCUGAUCAUGCCAGAAACUUGAAAUGGCUUUUAUCCUGUUUUGAGCAGAUUUCUGGCAUGAGCAUAAAUUUUCAUGAAUGUGACCUUGUACCUAUUAAUAUAAAUAGAGAUGAGGCUAUUCCUUUUGCUCAAAUCUUGGGGGUGUAAGAUUAGCUCUUUCCCCAUUAAAUAUUUGGGGGCACCCCUUCAUCACAGUAAAAUUAGGAGGGAGGAUCUCCAACCUACUGUGGACAAGAUUAUUAAGAGGGUGUUGGAUGGAGAGGGAGACUCCUUUCUUUUGGCACAAGGCUUAUUCUAGUACAGGCUUGUCUAGCAAGCAUCCCUACUUACCUCAUGGGAUUUAUUAAAUUCCCUAAGUGGGCAAUUAAGCUUAUAAAUACUCAAUUAGCUAACAUUUUCUGGGAUGACUAUGAUGGCCAUCACAAAUAUCACUUAGCUGCCUGGGGGUCCCUUACCAUCAAGAAGGAAUUUGGGGGCUUUGGCAUUACUGAUGUAUGGGAUAUGAAUCUGUGUCUAUUAGCCUCCUGGGUGAAUAGAUAUUACAAAUCUAAAGGUAAGAUUUGGAAAAAUAUUGUUGAGUCCAAAUAUAGCCUCCAGAGUAAUAAUAUCUUUUCUUGUUCUACCUCCGGUGUCUCACCUUUCUGUAAGGGUGUGCUCUGGGCAGCUCAAGUUGCAAAGGUUGGCUUCUCCUAGAAUAUAGGCAAUGGGAGUAAAGCUAGGUUCUGGGAGGACCAUUGGUUUGGCAAUGCUACUUUGGCUACCCAAUAUUGGGAGCUAUAUAUGUUAGCCAAUGUGCAUGAUGUAACUAUUGACAAAAUCUAGGUGGAUAACAAUCUUAAAAUUACUUUUAGGAGAUGUUUCACACAGAAGCUUAUGAGUUUGUGGCAUGAGCUGCUUGAAAUUGCUAAAUCAAUUGUUUAUACUGAUGUGGAUGAUUCCCUGGUAUGGAAUAUGAAUUCCAAAGGGGUGUACACAGUCAAAUCCUUCUACAAGUUUGUUAACUUCAAAGGGGUGUUACCUAGUAACACUCCUGCUGUUUGGUCUAUUAAGAUCCCCCCUAGGAUCCGAUUUUUUUGUGGCUCUUAACUAAUAAUAAAUUGCUUACUAGAGACAAUCUAGUUAAGAGGCAAACUGUGCCGGAUCCAACUUGUGUAUUCUGCUCUGAACUGAAAUCUUGCUAACAUUUAUUUUUUGGCUAUGUCGUUGCUGCUGAAUUCUGGAAAUCUAUCACUAGGAUAACUAGGUUUGCGGGGGACAUCAAUAUGAUGUCCUUCUCCUCGUGUUGGUCUAGAGGAGACAGAUUUGCUUCCAUCAAUAUUAUUCAUGCAGUUGGCCUGUGGGCUAUCUGGAGAACUCGCAAUAACAUGGUUUUCAGUUCUGUUGUGUGGCCUAGGAUGCAGGCUAUUUGGCGAAAAACUGCGUCGAACCUUUCUUCGUGGGAAUUCCUAUCCUCAGGUCGUGCCAGAACCGAGCUGGAAGAAUGGUCAAGGGAGUUGGAGCAACUGGCGAGGAGCCCCCCUCUCUUGAUGUGGUCAAAUCCUAGCUGAAGUGAAACAGUGCUCACUAAAGAUAUCCUGGUAGGUGGGGGAAUUUUGAUAUAUUAGGCUCCCCUGUACCUAGGCAGAUGUGGUGUAAAAAAAGACUUGGUGAACUUGCGUUAUUUGUAAUAGGCUAGGCUAGCUAGCUCUGGUUUCUGUACUUCUUUUGUUUGGCGUGUAUGUUUGCGCUGAGGCUGAGGCAGUGUGUCUACCGUUCCUCCGCGUGCUACUUAUGUAAGGAUCGGAACUCUGUGUUUCAUUUCUAAAAUGGAAUGGAGUUGGGGCAUGCUGCCCUUUUCUUCUUCUUUUUUUCGGUGUAAGAUAGAAUAAGGCACUAUAUAUAGUUUUCGAAUCCUUUUCAAAAAAAUCUAUAGUUUUUGAAUUUUAUGGAAGACAUUGUUGAUGGUUGAACACCAGCAAAUGAUAAAAUGGUGACCAGAGCAGUACGAAUGCACUAAAAAUGGCUCAGUUUUACUCUCUGGAAGACGAAACAGAC
rnacentral:lncRNA from 1 species